rnacentral:misc_RNA from 1 species
GAUGAAGAACGUAGCGAAAUGCGAUAAGUAAUGUGAAUUGCAGAAUUCAGUGAAUCAUCGAAUCUUUGAACGCACAUUGCGCCCGCCAGUAUUCUGGCGGGCAUGCCUGUUCGAGCGUCAUUUCAACCAUCAAGCCCCAGGCUUGUGUUGGGGACCUGCGGCUGCCGCAGGCCCUGAAAACCAGUGGCGGGCUCGCUGUCACACCGGGCGUAGUAGAUUUUAUCUCGCUCAGGGCGUGCUGCGGGUUCCGGCCGUUAAAAAGCCUUUUUUACCCAAGGUUGACCUCGGAGCAGGUAGGAAGACCCGCUGAACUUAAGCAUAUCAAUAAGCGGAGGA